UGUCGCCAAUACGGCAGCAGGACUUUUCUACCCAACAGCCUUCCCUGGUACCAAGCCUCUACAGACUCACCAGCUGCUCUGCUCCCACAGAAAGGGAAAGCAUGAAGGAAAAGCAGCAAGGUUAGAGCAGUAGGAAAUACCAGUCAUGCCAGACAAUAGCUCAGGCAACCGAGGACAGUGGAUGGCCAUCUAGGGGUUGCUUGUGGAAGUGGUAUAUAGCAGGUAAGCUUCAGACAGACCCCUACCACCAAAAUCCCAGGUGGCUGCCCAGUCUACAUGCUCACGGUUACUCCAUCAUCCCUUAAAGCACAGCUCUUGGGGGUCCUGUUAGCUGAGCCCAGGUAGGCCCUGGGGACAAGGAGGGACCACCAAAGGAGCUACCUUCUCCCACCCUGUCCUGGGACAAGGUGAGCCAGCACCCAGCUGUGCCCCCUGGGGCCCAGUCCCUCUCCUGCACUGGCACUUGGUCCAGAAGGCUAGAGGGGCCUAAAAGAUGACAAAAGCCCUCUGAGGGACCAGCCCUCUCAUUUAGCAAGUAUUACCCUUAAAGAGGAACAAGAGGCAAGGCAGGUAGGGCUGCUACCACAGCGCUCCAGCAAAGCAACAAAGGCCUUUGCAGGACAGGGUCCUCCCCAAUUUUCAUUUCCUCAUGUGCACAAAAGGACAGGACCUUCAGCUUGACUGCAUCCAGGCCAGACAUCUGAGGUCAAAUGCUGCCCUGGAGGACGCAUCCACGCAGCUGUCUGGGAAGAACAGCCUGGAAGCAGGAAACAGUGAACUUCUCAAGUCCUGUGAGCCCCAACAGACCAACACUGCAUUUCUAUACAUGGUCAACUUUUUUUUCCUUGAUCCUUAUUCAGGCAGCAGCAGGAGCUUGCCGAAAAGAGAAUGGAGCCUGGGGAACAGUGAGGACCCAGAGGAAGUGGCCUGAGCAGCCCCAGUUCCACUCCUAGAUAUUGUCACAACCCAGGCAUCAGGACCUCACCCAUUCCUGGGGUGCAGGCAGCUGAGGCUGCACACAGGGCCAAGUGAGCAGUUGAUCCUGGUGAGAGGUGCCCAAAACAGCCUUGUGGGGCCAUCCAGCCCAGGGCCUGUACUGGCAGCACCAGCAGAGGCAGAGACAGGCUCUAAAAAAUGUGCAGUCUUUGUGGCUGGGCACAUCUAGAGUGGAAGACUUGGGGGCACAGGGCCCUUGUGACCUCUGCUAACUUGGACCCCCUGCCAAGAAUACUCCUGGUUGGAGAACAUGACCUGGCAUAGCGGUGCCUACUAUAGUGCAAGAGCUCACAGGUCUCCACAAAUGGUGAAAAUGAAGUUUUCCAGAAGAGUUGGUUUCUGGGCUUUCUCCACACUUUUCAUGCCUGGGAUGUGUCUCAAGCAGCCUGGGCCCAAGAUAUUCACCCAUUCAAAUGCAGACAAGCCUCCAGCAGAAUGGAACUAUGAAAGGUGGGCAAGGAAAUGGUCUGCCAGCCAGCACAGCCUGUACACCCACCUCAGCAGCACUUCCCUCUGGGCUCACCUGGCCUGAGUCUGUGGACCAGAUGCUGCCUACUAGAAUUUUCUAUAUGUUUAGUGUCCAGCUGUGUUCCUGCCUGACUCCUGAUAUUCUAGCCCUAUACGGAAACACAAACCUGUGCUGUAGGAGGAGGGGGCCCUGCGUACCUCUGCAUUCAGAAGCUGACACUAACCAACAAAGCCACUGCACCCCAGGCUAAGCAAACCCCAUCUGUCUCAGCCCCCAGAUACCUUGCCUUGAUCCACCAGCCCAGCACAGCCAUGGGAUCUGUUACAUUACUCCUGCUUUAUGAACCUUUCCUGGUACGCUUGACAAUACCUAUGCUAGCUGGGGUCAGGAGUGUGACAUUUUGUAUAGGGAAAAAAGACUAAGUAGAUGGCCACAGAAAGUCAUCAAGUCAGUGAGGUGAGGGGUUAGAGAUUCACAGCACGUUCCAACACCUGUCCUUCACAGGAGUAUCUCACUUCCUCCAACUUCCAAUAUGUACAGGUCAUCUUAGAACCCUGGUACAGGACAAGGGCCCACAAAUGAUCAAUGCCAGCAAUCCAGAGCAAGAGCGAUCGUCCCCUUCAAGAUCUCUCCCCAGGACACUUCCGGACCACCUUAUCCACACCUAGAAGCAGCUAUUUCGUUUGAACCAACUCAGCACAACGCAUUCUCCUUUACUCUUUCUUUCCUGUAUUCAUGGACCACCUAAGUUCCACGACGGUUACACCUGUGCCUGUAACACCCCUCUACGCCUAGAGACCGGUACUCAGGAGAUGCUUAAUAAACACGUAUUAGCGAAGAGUAAAAACUGUGGGCCCGAGUAACAGCUGGGGCAGACAAGCACUAUGGCCUCCGAGGGACGGCAGUCAGCCCCAACCGACCGCAGGAAGGAUCCCAGGCUGGGCCAUGCCCGGUGGCCUCAUGUGUGCCUGGCCGCACGCCCCGCGUCCCGGUCCGCCGCCACCCAGUCACACUGCCCGACCAGCGCAGAACCCGGCUCCUGGGGUCUCCAGCACGUGCGCUCAUAACACGGCGCCGCGGU